GGGGUUGUGGCUCAGUGGUAGAGUGCUUGCCUAGCAUGCAUGAGGCACUGGAUUUGAUCCUCAGCACCACA
rnacentral:tRNA from 1 species